rnacentral:rRNA from 1 species
AGGACGAACGCUGGCGGCGUGCCUAACACAUGCAAGUGGAGCGACGAACCAGGCUUCGGCCUGGGGCAGAGCCGCGAACGGGUGAGUAACACGUGGGUUACCUGCCUCGAUGACCGGGACAACCCGAGGAAACUCGGGCUAAUACCGGAUGUGCCCGCAAGGGGAAAGGAAGCUUCGGCCUCCGCAUCGAGAUGGGCCCGCGGCCCAUUAGCUUGUUGGUGAGGUAACGGCUCACCAAGGCUUCGAUGGGUAGCUGGUCUGAGAGGACGAUCAGCCACACUGGGACUGAGACACGGCCCAGACUCCUACGGGAGGCAGCAGUGGGGAAUCUUGCGCAAUGCGCGAAAGCGUGACGCAGCAACGCCGCGUGGGGGAAGAAGGCUUUCGGGUUGUAAACCCCUUUCAGUUGGGACGAAGCUUCGACGGUGAAUAGCCGGACGGAGUGACGGUACCUUCACAAGAAGCACCGGCUAACUACGUGCCAGCAGCCGC